CCUAAGUACUGGGAACUUGUUCAUAUCUGUAGUAGCAGCAAACACGGAGUGGUUAAUGGAGAAGAUUAUCUUCGCCACUAAUAAUUUUGAUUUUUCAGAAGAAUGAAGAAAAGCUAAACUUUGAGUGAAUGCGUGUUAACACUUGCAGUUUUCUGAAGAAGAAAAGCUUCAGGCUUCUGCAGUUUUCAUUCUUCACGGCGCAGAGGUUACAGAGGGCAGAUGAUGUGUGCAAGGAAGGAAAAAUGCAGACAAGCAACGCCGAAGAUGUCUUCAAAGCGCUUGAUGAGAUUGACUUCCCAGAGUUAGUAGAGCCCCUGUGGACUGCAUUGGAAGACAAGGAAGAACUGCAUUGAAAUAUUUUCUUUGGAGAGGGAUUAGAUAAGGCCUAUGAGUCCUAAGUAAGCGGGAUGAGCAUGUCCUGCACUUCUAUUUACUAUUAAGCACGAACUGAAUUUCUGAUAAUCGCGUGAUGACAAUCAAUCCAACUGUUACCUUUGGGGUGCUUUUUGGAUGGACCAAUCUGAAAAUGUUGGCUAGCUUGCACCGCCAUCAUAUAAUCUAGAAGCAAGGGAAAUGAUUAUAGGGAAAAUAAAGGCAAUUCGCCAUCAGGAGGAAAUGCCAACCAAUACAUUUUUUACUUCCUCUGUUACAGAGGUAAAAUUACUACUACUUCUCGAAAGCUUUUUUUGUUGCAUGUUCCCCUUUCUUAAUCUUCUAUUUGUUCAAAUGUACAUACACGAGCUUAUAAUCCUUAUUACACAAUGCAUCUCACCAUACUAUUGUUUUCGUGAAAAUUUAUACUCACAUAGUUCCAUUUUUGUGUGGGUGAUCUUCUGUUGCCCUGAUUUGGUGUUCAUGUAGCAUGGGACAUUAUAGGCUCAUUUUAUUUUCUCUUUGUUCAUGCACUAAUGCAUAAAUCUUUUGGUAUUGCCCUUAUUACUUUGUCUAAAGCUAUGCAAUGACAACCAUGGCUUUAUUGUAUCAGUAAAAAAGUAUACCCAGUCAAGUACCUUAUACCAGUACCUUAAUUAGCCUCUUCUGACUAUUGACUGUUUGAAUUGCUAUAGCAGGACUCAGAUUUCAAUGUUAUUAGGCUUGUGGACAUGUUUUUAUUUUAGAUUGUACAGUCUUAGGGUCUUUUGGCUUCAGGUUGCUGCUGCACAAAAAGUACACUAAACUCAGAUGAUGCAUGAAAAAAACUGCAAACCUAACAUAGUUUUUUUAUUCGGAUUUUUUUUGUGAUGCCCUUAUGUUAAAAUGCUUAUUUGUUCUCCAAGUAGGCCAACGACGGCUGCUAGCAAUGAUACAUACAUAUCAACAAUUACAAGGAAGUGCAUAUGUCAGGAUGCAUAGCAUAAUAUAUAUGUUAAUGUUAAUUAGAAAAUACUCUUCAGCAUCUGAAGCAUCUAAAGGCGAUCACUCAACUACGUAUUAUAUACAAUAUACCCAGCUCGAUGGUUUGAGCAAUCCCAACCACUAAUUAGUACUCCAGCGUUGAAUCACUCAUCUAAGUAUCAACACUGCUCUCGAGACUUGCCUAUUAACAUAGUAGUGAUAGGUCCUCGGUGUUCGUUCUUACUCUCUCUUUUCCGAGUCUUUGGUUUCUCUUCCUGUUUGUCUGACAAUUACCAGUUAGUGCAUUGUACAAAGUGUAUACUGUUUGACAUUGACACGAAAGGCAGAAAACACACAAAAUGCAUAAUUUCCAAGACAUGAAUCUACUAACCUCAUUCUCAUGUUAUCAUUCUAAUUAUUAUUUUUUGUUAGUCAAUACAAAAGUAGUUUUGACUGUAGUCAUUCUAAAACCGUAUUUGUUUGCCUCCGCACAUAGUUAAACUCGGUCUCAUGACACCAUUUGUUGUCUUCAGAUUUAGAUAAAAGCAUCACAGUUAUCAAUUUAAUUAGUAGCACCACCGCUAUGUGAUUAGGACAUCAUGCUGGCCAUCGAGGAUGAUCUGAUCAUGCAGUUCUUGUUUACUGCCGCACAUACUUCGCAACCUGCCCUAUGGACUGCAGUUUCAUUUUUUGGGGGUUCUAGAGAUAUGUUAUUUGCAAGGAGCAUCCUGAUUUCUUCAGUUGCAAUUGUUUUGUUCAUUUCCUUUUUGCCUUCUUGAUUGGCUCAAACAUGCUCAUUGUGAAAGGGCGAGGAGCCGCCGCCAUGUUUCUCCCCGAGCUCCGUGGUAGAAUGGUCUGUUUGUAUCAGAUUGUGUUUAGUAGAUGUGAAGAGCUCAGUUCUCGUAAGCUACACCCUGAGGCGUGCAACAGGUAUGUGGAGAUUAAGGAGCGUGCCCAUGUGAGUGGUUUUGAUUUUGUUGUGCCAAUAUCUCCGGUGGCAGGGAUUCACUUCUUCUUUUUUGGUGAUAGUCAGGAGGAUGUUAUAUAGUUUGAUGUUUCUGAAUUUUAACAAUCAUGUUUUACAGUACCCUUGACAUGAAUGAGAUGACUGGGCUUAAAUGAGAACGAUGAGAACCAUCCUGUUCUCCGUCGCAAUCAGCAUGUGUUUAAACUACUACUGCAGCAAAUGUUUGUCGUACCUUCAGUUUGUGCCGCAGAAUCUGUAAUUCAUUGGCACUUUUGUGUGUGUUUGAUUUAGUAUCUUUACCCAGGUGCUUGCUAGAGGAGAAGAUUAAUGGUCCGACACGGCUUCAUGAUUUAUGAGGUAGAGGAGAGGGCAUUGGAUGAACCAAUCAGUUCGAAGCUGUAGAGUUUGGAGGUGUAUGUUAAUAAAGGGAGGAAGUUGAUCACAAGUUUUCUUUCAGCCAUUGGUGAGUUACAAGUCAGCCCUAUCUCACCUCACUAAAUCUGCAACUCAUGCUUUUUUCUUGCUUGAUAUUAAUUCUCGAUAUUCUUGUCACAUCCUUACAGGGAUAUCAUGUGCAUAUGUAUGAGUUUGCUUUGCUUCGGUUGAAGAUAUAUGUGUGCCUGAAGAUACAAUCUUACAUGCAUUUUCUGUAUGAUAUGAGCACUCUUUCGUUCUCUGCGUGUACGUAGGUUGCAAGAAUGAGAAGGCUCCUCCGUGCUCAACAGGAAGAGAUAGGGUUGCAGUCGCACCGCACGACGGCAGGCCAUGGCGACCCGCACCACACCAGGGAGGCUAGGGCGAGCUCCAGCGCGAGCGAGCGCACCCGUCGCCCACGCCGGCGGGGUCCCGGCCACGAGCAACAGGAACACAGGGUCCCUGACCACGGUUGGAUCUCCUCCUUCUCCAUCCACAUGCGUGCAGCAACAGCUAGCAGCCGCACGGGUCUGAGCUCGGCCGCUCAAGUAGGGUGGCUUCCAUGCUGUAGCUAUUGUUCUUUUCUCCGUUUCUCUGAAGAUGCUUGCUAUCUUCAGAUCUUGCCGAGUAUUCGUCUGAGAUUCACUGUCUUGAUUUAGUUAGUGGUUUGGAUAGUAGUACUCCAUGAAUUUUCAUUUGACCCGCUGUCUGCCGCCGCCGCCGGUAAAUUGGAUAAUUGCUGCAGUUUCACAUCCCUGAACCCAAACCCUAAGACUUAGUUCUGAAAUAUUCAGACCAUAUUUACUGAAGUGUGUCAGUGUUGGUUUACUUGUGAUACUUGCUCCAUUGUUGUGUUUAAUCAUAUUGUCCGGUCUUAGCAUAUGCUAUGCUCGCCAAGUUCAACUAUCAAUAUCUAAUUUCUCAAUUGAUUUUGACACCUUGCUCUUCUGCAGUUUUGUUUCACUUUUCAAGGAUGAGUAUCUUUACUUUGAAAAUGAACUGGUCAUAUUUCUAUUGGAAAUGAAGUGAUGUUGCUUCCCAGGUAAAUAACUGAAAUGUUUGUUUGGAGGUUAAUUUAAAAUUUUUUUGUCGAUUCACAGCUUCUCACAUGUACCAUUCUCUUAGACCUUUAGAUUCCCAAAGAAAUUAAAUGAAGAUAUGGUGGUAUGGUCUCAAUAGUACAACUUAAAGCCUUCCAUGCUUUAUAUUUUCUCUGAAAUUUGUUCUUUAUGUUAGAUCCGGUGAGAAAAGGCGGCUUUCAAGAAGAGGAUGCGGGAGUGUUGGCCACAUUUGGUUUUCGACUUGGGUGUCUAAAUAUUCUCACAAUACUUGGCUCCUUUUCGCCCCUUGCGCCAUUGGCGUAACGAGUCAUCUAGUUAGUAGUACACCCCAACGGGAUACUCUAUUCUAAGCAGUGUCUUAAGAACCCCAACUCGGUACCAGCGGCAUCCGAUGCUAUUUUGGCCCCUCCCAAGGUCGCAUCUCAACCUUGGCUAACCGGCAGGUAGAACAUUUUGUAUCUACGGUAAACAGUACAAGGAAAAGCUCCACAUCUCCAUAAACUAUGCUACGUGAAUCUCUCAGAAUCUCCAAUGUGUAUUGACU